rnacentral:rRNA from 1 species
UACGUAGGGCCCAAGCGUUGUUCGGAUUUACUGGGCGUAAAGGGCUCGUAGGCGGCGCGGUAAGUCACUUGUGAAAUCUCUGAGCUUAACUCAGAACGGCCAAGUGAUACUGCAGUGCUAGAGUGUGGAAGGGGCAAUCGGAAUUCUUGGUGUAGCGGUGAAAUGCGUAGAUAUCAAGAGGAACACCUGAGGUGAAGACGGGUUGCUGGGCCAACACUGACGCUGAGGCGCGAAAGCCAGGGGAGCAAACGGG